GAGUGAGUGAGUGAGUGAGUGAGUGAGUGAGUGAGUGAGUGAGUGUGUGUGUGUUGCAUUCAGUGAAAAGGUCUGUUAUACUUGGUGCCCUUCAUGACGCGCGGUCAAGUGGUAGGCUAUCAGUGGUAAUAGUGGUCAAGUGGUAGGCGAUAAGUACUUUUAAUACAUUUUAAUACUUUUCACACAUACUUCUCGUGUCAGACUCUCUCUCACACUCUGAAACGUCUCCAUCUUUCCCUCAGCGAUUAUCCCAUAAAGGCCUGUUAUAAAUUUACAUUUAGUCAUUUAGCAGACGCUUUUAUCCAAAGCGACUUACAUAUGUGCGACUUACAAUGUAUACACAUUUUACAUUUACACUGAUGGCACACUGCACAUCAGGAGCAAUUAGGGGUUCAGUGUCUUGCUCAAGGACGCUUCGACAGGGAAUCGAACUAGCAACCUUCUGAUUACUAACCGACUUCUCUACCUCCUGUACCACUGUCGUUGGUGUACUCAUCGGCCCUUUGAGAAAUGUACCAUUUGAUGUAUGGCUGUUGGUCACUGGGAGUAGCAUGACCCUCAUGCACACACAUCAUGCACACGUGCACAACUCAACGCUGGGUGGUAUUUAUAACAUGCAAAUGACUGCAUAUAUUUACAUUUAGUCAUUUAGCAGACGCUUUUAUCCAAAGCGACUUACACAUGUAUACACAUUUUACAUUUACACUGAUGGCACACUGCACAUCAGGAGCAAUUAGGGGUUCAGUGUCUUGCUCAAGGACACUUCGACAGGGAAUCGAACUAGCAACCUUCUGAUUACUAACCGACUUCUUUACCUCCUGUACCACUGUCGCCUAUAGAUAGGUGUGCAGCGCACGGUUAUAUAAAUCAGAAGAUUCUCAGGCGUAUGUAGAGGUUUGUGUGAACAUGUUAAAUGACUUCACACACACAUGAAACAAUCCUGAGAGAAAUAAUGGGACAUGAAAAGCGCAAGCGAUUACUCUGAUAUCAAUGUAGUGAAUGA
ensembl:lncRNA